rnacentral:rRNA from 1 species
UACGUAGGGCGCAAGCGUUUGUCCGGAAUUAUUGGGCGUAAAGAGCUCGUAGGCGGUCUGUCGCGUCUGCCGUGAAAACCCGAGGCUUAACCUCGGGCUGGCGGUGGAUACGGGCAGACUAGAGGUAGGUAGGGGAGAAUGGAAUUCCCGGUGUAGCGGUGAAAUGCGCAGAUAUCGGGAGGAACACCGGUGGCGAAGGCGGUUCUCUGGGCCUUACCUGACGCUGAGGAGCGAAAGCGUGGGGAGCGAACAGG